rnacentral:rRNA from 1 species
GAUGAACGCUGGCGGCGUGCCUAAUACAUGCAAGUCGAGCGAACAGACGAGGAGCUUGCUCCUCUGACGUUAGCGGCGGACGGGUGAGUAACACGUGGAUAACCUACCUAUAAGACUGGGAUAACUUCGGGAAACCGGAGUUAAUACCGGAUAAUAUAUUGAACCGCAUGGUUCAAUAGUGAAAGAUGGUUUUGCUGUCACUUAUAGAUGGAUCCGCGCCGCAUUAGCUAGUUGGUAAGGUAACGGCUUACCAAGGCAACGAUGCGUAGCCGACCUGAGAGGGUGAUCGGCCACACUGGAACUGAGACACGGUCCAGACUCCUACGGGAGGCAGCAGUAGGGAAUCUUCCGCAAUGGGCGAAAGCUUGACGGAGCAACGCCGCGUGAGUGAUGAAGGUCUUCGGAUCGUAAAACUCUGUUAUUAGGGAAGAACAAAUGUGUAAGUAACUAUGCACGUCUUGACGGUACCUAAUCAGAAAGCCACGGCUAACUACGUG